rnacentral:rRNA from 1 species
UACGUAGGGGCAAGCGUUGGUCCGGAAUCAUUGGGCGUAAAGAGCGUGUAGGCGGUCCGGUAAGUCGGCUGUGAAAGUCCAAGGCUCAACCUUGGGAUGCCGGUCGAUACUGCCGGACUAGAGUUCGGAAGAGGCGAGUGGAAUUCCCGGUGUAGCGGUGAAAUGCGCAGAUAUCGGGAGGAACACCUAUGGCGAAGGCAGCUCGCUGGGACGUUACUGACGCUGAGAACGCGAAAGCCGUGGGGAGCAAACAGG